CUCCUUCUUUUUCUGCUCCAAGAACAGCCGGCCAAGGAAACAAAAGAAACCACUCAAAGCUCUUCAAAUCCCAUCUUCAUUUCUUCAACAAAACACCACCAAACUCCACCAAAAUUGAACCACACCUAGCUAAUCACUUGGUGAUCAUCUUAAGCUAGAAAAGGGGCUUCAUUUCCAUGGUUUUCUUGAGCUUCAAAGUGACGAAAAAUUCUGAUUUAGUCAUCAAGAGAGGCACUCGAGGGAACCUUCAAGAGGAUCUCGGAGCGGACACCUAAAACGCUUGUUUGAGAACUACUCGCUUGUUUUGACUAGGGUUCGAGACCAAGGGUGCUCGUGCGUAGUACUAGAUUGUUUUCUUUUGGAGACUUUAAAUUAUAUUAUAACUGAUAGCUAUUGUACUCUUUUCCGUUGGAUUGUAUUUAAGCUUGAAAGUUAUAUAAUUGUAAGUGUGAGAUAUUUGAAGUACUUUAAUUAUGUAUUGAAGUUAAUUAAAGUAUUUUGAGCUUUCGAA